CGUCAAUGGCGUCGCCGCUCAGGGUCUUCAUGUAUGAUCUUCCCCAUCGAUUCAAGUCGGGAUGCUGAAACAUCGGAGAUCCGACGAAACUCCGGUGACUUCCUGGACUCUGCCGCCGUGGCUUGGAGACAAACAAUCGUCUGAGGAUUCGAAUUACAGACGCAAAGCAGCAGAGAUGAGAGAUCCCCCAGCAAAUCCUCGCCCCGCAGCAGCCCAGCUUAGACCUCAUUUUCACUCUCCACAACACCACUCCCUUCGGAUUCACCUGCAAGACAUGCGUCACACCUUGGCACGUCACUUGUCUUUCCACUCUCCCUCAAACCUUAGCCAAUACUGUCCAGUGUGAGUGUCCCAAUUGCUCCGUCAUUGCCGAUCCUAAUCUCAUCGACAAGCCGGCCGC
rnacentral:misc_RNA from 1 species